GGAAAUUCAAAAAGAAGGAGAAGUGUUGUUAGUUUAUUGUAGAGCAGAGGACCAGAUUGCUGAUGGUUUUACUAAAGCUUUGCCUAAAGCCAAAUUUGCAGAUUCAAGAAAUAAAAUGGGAGUUUGCAGCAUAAAAAACAAGGAGGAGUGUUAGAAAUUGUCUUAGAUACUGCUGAUUUGCUAAAGUUGUUAAACGUGAUAUUUAGUUCCUAUUUUUCUGUUUAAGUGGGUUGUUAAAUGACUUGGUCUACAACCUGUAAUCAAGUUUUUUUUUUCUCUUCUUUUUCUGUUAAGCAUGUUUCCAUGUUUUGAUCAUGGUUAGAAUCAUGGACCAUGAUCUUCAUCAUCAGUUAUUUUUAUUUUGUAUUUAAACAAUAUUUUGUUUUAAUGAAAAGUGUGGGGUUCAGUUCUGUUCUUCUCCUUCUCUGUUUUGCAACUGAAUCUGUAAUCAAGUUUUUUUUUCUCUUCUUUUUCUGUUAAGCAUGUUUCCAUGUUUUGAUCAUGGUUAGAAUCAUGGACCAUGAUCUUCAUCAUCAGUUAUUUUUAUUUUGUAUUUAAACAAUAUUUUGUUUCAAUGAAAAGUGUGGGGUUCAGUUCUGUUCUUCUCCUUCUCUGUUUUGCUAACAUUUGGUAUCAGAGCCUGGUUAUCUUAAAGGACCUGUGAUCGUUUGAGUGUGAGUUUUUUUCCCGUUGAGUGUUAUACAGAAAUACUAACCCUCUCCAAGUUUCAAAUCUUGAUUCAAAUGGCUUCAAAAGAUUAUUGUCCUGUUCCACCUCCAGUGUUCACUGGAGAAAAUUAUCAAUCAUGGGCAGUUAAAAUGACUGCUUAUCUACAAGCAUGGGAUCUUUAGGAAGCAGUGGCUGAAGACCUUGAAAUUGAUCAACUGCCUGAGAAUCCAACUAUGCAGCAGAUCAAAACACACAAGGAGAGAACUACAAAGAAGUUUAAGGCCAAAACAUGUUUGUAUUCAGCUGUGUCUGAAUCACUUUUUACCAGGAUUAUGAACUUGGAGACUGCCUUUCACAUUUGGCAGUACCUCAAGACAAAGUUUCAAGGUAAUGCGCGUACCAAAAGCAUGAGUAUCUUGAAUCUCAGAAGGGAACUUGAACUACAAAAGAUGAAAGACUCUGAAACUGUAAAAGAGUAUGUUGAUAGGCUGCUGGAUAUUAUCAACAAGCUUAGGCUUCUUGGUGAAAAAAUUCCAGAUAGCAGAGUUGUUGAGAAGAUUCUGGUAACAUUACCAGAAAGAUUUGAAGCCAAAAUUUCUGCACUAGAGGAGGUUCGUGACCUUACAGAAAUUUCCUUGACUGAGUUGCUAAAUGCUCUUUAUGCACAAGAGCAAAGAAGGCAGAUUAGAGAAGAUGGUUCAAUUGAAGGUGCAUUGCAAGCCAAGUUGCAACUUAAGGACACUUGGAAAAAUAAGAAAAAAAAAGGGAAAGAAGAGCAAAGACAAUUCAGGUGCAGGUGUUGGAAGCAAUUCUUUUCCUGGAACAAGCAACAAUGGUGUAGCAGGCAACAAAGGAAGAAAUUAUCACCCUUGUCAACAUUGUGGCAGAACCAAUCAUCCUCAUUUUAGAUGUUGGAGCAGACCUGAUGCAAAAUGCAACACAUGCAAUCAGAUGGGGCAUAUUGACAAAAUUUGCAAAAACAAAGGCAAUCAGGUAGUGAAUGAGGCUCAAGCUGUGAAUCAGGAGGAGGAAGAACAAUUAUUUGUGGCAUCUUGCUACGUUAGUUCGGCUGAUACUUGGCUUGUUGACAGCGGUUGCACCAAUCAUAUGUCCAACAAUAUCGAACUCUUCAAGGUUCUUGAUAAGACAUUGCUAGAAAUUGUCUUAGAUACUGCUGAUUUGCUAAAGUUGUUAAACGUGAUAUUUAGUUCCUAUUUUUCUGUUUAAGUGGGUUGUUAAAUGACUUGGUCUACAACCUGUAAUCAAGUUUUAGGAAAUUUAUUAUUUUUUUUUUCUUUUUCUGUUAAGCAUGUUUCCAUGUUUUGAUCAUGGUUAGAAUCAUGGACCAUGAUCUUCAUCAUCAGUUAUUUUUAUUUUGUAUUUAAACAAUAUUUUGUUUCAAUGAAAAGUGUGGGGUUCAGUUCUGUUCUUCUCCUUCUCUGUUUUGCUAACAUUUGGUAUCAGAGCUCCUUAUCUUAAAGGACCUGUGAUCGUUU
rnacentral:lncRNA from 1 species